AGAAAUUAUAUACACCAUUCAACACAUAAUUUAGAUAUGGUUUUUAUUUAUUUAUUCAUUCAUUCAUUUUUAUAUUUUUUUAUUAAAGCAAAAUCUGCAGAAAGAGCCACACCUGAAUACCAUAAUGAUUUCUCCAGCACUAAAGGCCCAACAGAAAAGCAACAAAUCACAUCAGAGAACUAUGAUGAUGUAAUCACUGUUGGACUGAGACAUGCUACAGAUGACUUACCAGAAAACUAUGAUGAUGUCGUCAUCAUACAACAGUUCUCCAAUGAUAAAGCAGAGGCUGUUCAGGAGGAGUAUGAUGAUGUGAAGAAUGUCAGAGAAUAUAUGAGCGACAUGUUUGGUACGUUAUUAACAACUUCAUUUAGUCUUUAUAAUCACUUUAUAUGAUUAAUUUCUGUAGUUAUAAAAGCUCAUUUAAAUUUACUGCUAGUUUUAGUGUUGUAGAGUUUUCAUUAUGCUUUUUAAUGUAUGUAUUGAUACAUGAAUCAUUCUCUUGUUUUCCAAUAACAGACUAUGAUGAUGUGGAGGAGGAUCCAGGAAAACAGGCAGAAGCUGUAUAACUCAAACCUCACCCACUGCCUCAGAAACUUUUAAAGCUUUUAAAGUUUUAGCAAUCUUACUAUAUACAUGUUUCAGUUGCAAUCUAACAGUGUUUUGUUACAUUCUGUAUUAAAAUAUACAAUUGCAGUUUUUGACAGAAAAAAAUGCUUUGCUUUCAUGACCUUUUCAAAAGGUGCUUGAAUUUUUCCAGACGCUUUUAGAAAUAUUUUCUAUUGUUUAGCCUUAGAAAUUUGAGAGAACAAAAACCUGUCAUUUUCUGACAUCAGUUACUUUGUAUAAACAUAAUUGUGUUGAGUUCAGAUUGUUCACCAUUCAGCUACCACCCAUCAUUAAUGGAUUACUUACAGUAUCUUCAACUUAAUAAUAUCAUAAUAUUAAAUAUCAAAAUAUCAUUCACUGAUGGUUCACUGUUAAUAUUUUGCUAAAGGACAUUAGAAUGUUACGGUGGCCGAGAGCUCAACGCGCUGCAACUUCAGAAAACACAUGCAAAUAUAAAAAGCACCAGCAAAUAAAGAAAACAUCUUCAUCAGUCUGAGAGCAUGUGCUGCAAAUACUCCCAACACAACCAAAUACAAAACACACUGCAAAUCCUCCCAACACAAACAAUUAAAGAAACACACAAGUAGCACAGACCACAACAAAAUUACCCCAACAAAAACGAAAAUUAUUAUUAUUAUUUUUUUGAUUACCAUUUGUUACCACAGUUGUACAAAUACCAUGGUUAAACUAUGGUAUGUAGUAAAUCCAUGGGUAAUUUAUGCAUGCUAACCAUGGUUUAACUAUUGUUGUUUUUAUUUACUUUUUAUAUAAUAAAUGUAUUAAUACAGUUUAAGGCUAUGGUUAAUUUUUAUAGGGGAAGUUGUAAAAGUGAGCCACAUAAUGUUAAAAUAAAUCUCACCUUUCAGAGCAAACAUUGAUCAGCAUGUCCCAGCCGUGUUCGUC
rnacentral:lncRNA from 1 species